UGGAAAGAAAGUGACUAUAAUUAUACAGUCAGUUUAAAGAAGCUUUUCUUGGCAACAGAAGAUAAAAUCAAGCACUGUAUCAAGUUAAAUGCAAAGCAUGCUACAAAGCUUAUCUCUUUGCUCUUGAAGAAAGCUUUGUGAGAGUAACCAUGAGCCUGGAGCUGAAACACCCAAUGCUGUGGAAGUUGUACCCGUCAGCACCUGCUGAGGGCUUCGUUGAUCAAAAAAAUCAGGUAGACCUGUGAUGAGAAAGGGAUAUAUUCUGUGAUUUGUCUUGAACAAAAGAGCAUGCAGAUAUGAAACAGAAUUCAAACACCUCCUGAAGAGCAGACAGAGCUAUUAGUGUGCUAGUGGUGUUCUUCAUGAAGCACAAAAGGGCAUCAGUGAAGCUUUUGUUAAAGAACCAAGAAUUUGAGGAACAAUGGACCCAUUGAAUGGAAAAAGACUUCUGGUGGUCCUUGCCCGGCUUCUGCAGAGAACUGAAACCACUGGGUAUAGUUUCUGUCUUCAGAGACAAAUGAACAAAUCAUCUGAAGUAGCAGCAAAUACUCACAUCACUAGGGCUGUCUACAGACCCAAGUCUAGGUGAAGAAUGAAUCCUUGUACAGAUCAUGAGAAGAAGGGGAGGUCUUGGUUCCUUGGUUCUUGGGUGUAGAUACCUGCUACGAGCAUGACCAUAGAGAAUUUCUUCCUUGUUGUCGGUUCACUAUUUGUUCAGGCUGUAUAUGCAAGUGUAAAACAAGGAUUUAAUUUAUUUGAUCAAACAAUUUUUUUUUACCUUAUGAGAUCUCCUUAAGAUUGACUUUAUCCUGCAGUAGUGUCACAGUUGGCCAUCAUUUAAUGCCUCAUCUUGUGAGGUCAGAAUUCCACGCCCAACUGCAUUUAGCAGGGUAUUUUAUGGGUCACUAGGAAGAAUGAAUGAUUGAAACUUCUGUAAGCCAAACUAGAGGAAUUAGCACUUUGGGUAAUCAGAAAGAUCACUUGGGAUGAAAUUUGGCUGGAAAUAACUUCAUGUGCUUCCAUCUGCAGUCAUUACCAGACUGACUCCACUUUGAAAAGCUAAAGCCACAUUCUUCAGAACAGUUGCUUGGUGUUGGUCAAAUUUCUCUGCAGACUUUUUUUUCCAUUGGAGACAUGGAGGCUCAUGCAUAGUUUCCAAGGACUAACGACUUUGCGUGUCUUCUGUCUCCAAAAUCAUCUCUUGAAUUCCAAAUAUUUCUCAAGUGACUAGCAAAAGAAUAUCCAGGUAAUUUUUGGCCUGGUGGGACAAAUUUGAGUAGAAAGCCAGAUGGCUGUAAAAAUGGAUUGUAAAACAAAGAAGAAAAAAAAUCAGCCUCAAGGGACAGGACAUGAACCCACCAGAGAUCACUGUUCCCUUUCCAGCAAAAGGAAUAAGUUUGGCUCACAACUUGCUUUGUUCUCUCUCAAAAAACUGUGCCUAUAUACCACUGGGAAGAUGAGGGCUGAAGACUGACACACAACAACUGUAAAUACAAACAUACAAGUUGAUAAAUAAGGCCCUGAUUCUGUAAGUAGGCCUGCCCAGACAUAGCUCCCCUCCAGACCUCUGCUCAACCACAGUCAGUCUGCAUUUUUAUUUUUCUCUUCAUUUUCAGUAUUAUCAUGGACUCUAAUUUUCUGAAUACUCAAGGCUGACUGGUUAGAAGACAUAAAAUGGAUAACACUUGAUAAUGAAGAAACCGCGUGCCAAGAAGAAAAACAAAUAUUUAUUUUCUGACCAUACCUGAAGUGAAAGGCAAAACAUUCAAGAAUUUCUUACCACAACUGAUAAGGGAAUUAUCAAAUCCCUUUGAUUUUCUGCUUUCUGUGUAUUGGCUAAACCUUGUUUCCCAAACUUUGGGACAAAUUUUUUUAACAUAUGUUAUAUGAGCCCUGUAUUACAGACCAAGUCAGGGAAGUCACUAGAUAUCCUUCACAAGGCUUGCUUAGAUGUUCCACCUCUACAGUUUAUUUUCUUUGGCUGAAACUGUAGGAGCAGUGGAAAAGGAACUAAACCACUACUGGCAUUUUUGAGCCUAGUUAAUGGGAUUCUUCUCACCAGGAAAGUUUGGAAUCUAAUCUCGUCAUUCAAGUUCCUUUUUCAUCAGUGUUGCUCAUACUUCAAUGCUUAAUCAUAAAUAUUAAAAAUGUAUCACAUAUUUUGAGCUACAUUUUAGAGUUUUCUUCACACUAAAUAAUUGUAAAUAGUUUCUUCACAGUAAAUAAUUGAACUUAGUCAGCUGUGUGCCCCUUUUUCCAACUCUGCACAGGCACAACUAAUGCAGGGUUGAACACAACCUUAAUUUCUGCAGCGUGAGCAUCUUAACAAAAAUACAUAUAGAAGAGCCAGAACAACCAACUCCUGAACUUUUAUCAGAUGAUGAUUUAUUGAAUAUAAAUUUCUAAACCUAUUCCCAUAAAAUAUUUUUUUCUGUUGAGUGGUAUUUGCCCAAGAAAAACAAGGCCAGAAUAUGCACCUUCUGUGGGCCAGGAGAAAAUAUGUCUCUGAAUAGUAUAGACCUAAUAAUGAUUUAUUAAAAAAUUGUUGGGAAAGAUGGAGCUUUUCAGACUUAACAGAUUUUUUACUGGGUUUGCCAGUGUGGAAUAAAGGAGAAUCUGAAGAUUUAUUUACACAAUGGAAAAAAGUUUUGCACAUAUUCAGGGAAGAUUUAAGACACUGACAAAACAGAUUCAGAUAAAGUGUGAAAAAAUAAAUUAAUUAUGUGACCACUAAAUCAAGGCCUUACAGACAUGUCAGAUGCUAGUUUACUCUUGUAUGGACUUUGAGAUCCUUGGACUCCUCAUCUUUCCCAAUGUGGUCAAGAAAAUGCAGUAAGUUUUCAGUCUUAAGUGUAGAUUCUUUGGUAGCCUAUAAGAAAAUGCUCUUUCUGGAACACCUGGAAUUUGUGGUUAUGUGCUGGUAGUAAAAACAGCAAAGCAACUGCUAAAAGAAAUUCAUUUGUGUCUUUAAGAGGAAGUUAUAUGUACAUAAGUUUCAUUUUCAGAAAUUCUUUAGAAGCUUGGAAGUAUCUGGUUUUAUGCAAAGUUUCAAUAUUUUCUUUGGCUUUCUUGUUUAAUUUAAAUCUUGAAAUAACACAGUUGUAAUGCAUGGCUGAAAAAUCAUGUACUUUGGAAAACAGUGUCUCAGUCCAUGUGGAAUAAAUCUGCCCUCCACCUCAAGACCUGUGGUGUGACUAAGUGAAAAUAUAAAAUAAAAGUUCUGCAGAGAAAACAUGA